UACGUAGGUGGCGAGCGUUGUCCGGAAUUACUGGGUGUAAAGGGCGUGUAGGCGGGUUAUCAAGUCAGAUGUGAAAUUCCAGGGCUCAACCCUGGCGCUGCAUCUGAAACUGAUGAUCUUGAGUACUGGAGAGGGAAGCGGAAUUCCUAGUGUAGCGGUGAAAUGCGUAGAUAUUAGGAGGAACAUCAGUGGCGAAGGCGGCUUUCUGGACAGUAACUGACGCUGAGGCGCGAAAGCGUGGGGAGCGAACAGG
rnacentral:rRNA from 1 species